AGCUAGUUGGUGGGGUAAAGGCCUACCAAGGCGACGAUCCGUAACUGGUCUGAGAGGAUGAUCAGUCACACUGGAACUGAGACACGGUCCAGACUCCUACGGGAGGCAGCAGUGGGGAAUAUUGGACAAUGGGCGAAAGCCUGAUCCAGCCAUGCCGCGUGUGUGAAGAAGGUCUUCGGAUUGUAAAGCACUUUAAGUUGGGAGGAAGGGCAGUAAGUUAAUACCUUGCUGUUUUGACGUUACCAACAGAAUAAGCACCGGCUAACUUCGUGCCAGCAGCCGCGGUAAUACGAAGGGUGCAAGCGUUAAUCGGAAUUACUGGGCGUAAAGUGCGCGUAGGUGGUUUGGUAAGAUGGAUGUGAAAUCCCCGGGCUCAACCUGGGAACUGCAUCCAUAACUGCCUGACUAGAGUACGGUAGAGGGUGGUGUUUUUUCCUGUGUAGCGGUGAAAUGCGUAGAUAUAGGAAGGAACACCAGUG
rnacentral:rRNA from 1 species